AUUUGUUUCAUUUAGGGCUUUGCUCCCGGAAGCAGUUAUCCUUAUCGCAAGGCAAACGAGCUUUAUCGUGAUUCGUGUGCUACACCCAAUUGAUCCAGGAAUAUACACCAACAGCUGGGUUUUGUUGGCCGGAUUUGAAUUUACCAUUGUAAUUGAGAACAUUUCCCAGUGCAGGUUUUGAACAGUGUUGCAACCAGUAGAGACGAGCACCAUGGUGCUUCAGUUUAAGAUGUCAAUCCACACUGUACUGUCAUUGGUCAUCUGCUGCUAUGUACUCACCGGUACUACAGUGAUGAGUUGUCCAGCGCCAUGUUCGUGUGAUGGUGCACCUCAGUACACUGUAGAUUGCUCCUUCUACGCAUUAACAAUGGUGCCGGGUGGAAUACCGAAUACAACA